rnacentral:rRNA from 1 species
UUGGUAGGGUAACGGCCUACCAAGGCUACGAUCAGUAGGGGUUCUGAGAGGAUUAACCCCCACACUGGUACUGAGACACGGACCAGACUCCUACGGGAGGCAGCAGUGAGGAAUAUUGGUCAAUGGGCGCAAGCCUGAACCAGCCAUCCCGCGUGAAGGAAGAAUGCGCUACGCGUUGUAAACUUCUUUUCCAGGGGGAGAAUAAUCCUGUCGUGACAGGACUUGACGGUACUCUGGGAAUAAGCAUCGGCUAACUCCGUGCCAGCAGCCGCGGUAAUACGGAGGAUGCGAGCGUUAUCCGGAUUUAUUGGGUUUAAAGGGUGCGUAGGCGGAUUGAUAAGUCAGUGGUGAAAUUCUACAGCUUAACUGUAGACUUGCCGUUGAUACUGUUAGUCUUGAGUGUGGUCAAGGCAGGCGGAAUGUGUAAUGUAGCGGUGAAAUGCUUAGAUAUUACACAGAACACCGAUUGCGAAGGCAGCUUGCUGGGUCAUUACUGACGCUGAUGCACGAAAGCGUGGGGAUCAAACAGGAUUAGAUACCCUGGUAGUCCACGCCGUAAACUAUGAUCACUCGCUGUUGGCGAUACACAGUCAGCGGCUAAGCAAAAGC